CCGGACUCUCCCCUCGCCUCGCCGGGCCGGGGCCGCGCUCGGGCGCCCGCGACCGCCAAGUGACAGAAGUGCCUCGUUCCGCUGCCGCGCCGAGCUGUUUCCCGGGGGCGGAUUUCUCGCUUCUUCCUCCCUGGAUCCACCUCCUCCCACUCCACCUCCUUCCCCUCCCCUCCCCAGGGGAGGCUCUGGGGUUGAAUGUUUUCUGUCUUGAAUAAUAUGGUCCCGGGAACCGACGCUGGAGAAGGGGGAUUAGCCUGGGGCGGGGGCGGGGACGGGGGGUGCUCGCCAACCCCCCCAAUGUGUGUCGGCACCUACAAACCCUCACCACCACCCCCAACACCUCCCCAAAAACCAGACACACAAAAUCCUCCCCGCCUUCUCCAGUCUCCCGAGCGCAGAGCGGGAGCGGCCAGGAACCCGGGCUUCCACUGGGGAAGGGACUAGGUACUUGGCGUCAGGGCCGGGGAGGGGGUCGAUCAUACGGCUAGACUCGCAGAAUUGGGUCCCAGACUGCGGGGGACACGCCCGGGGCAGCUGAACAAUUCGGCGCAGCUAGCGGAACUGAGGAAAGGUGGCUGCGCUUCUCCACACAGCAGGUCGCAGCAGCGCGGGGUCCCGGGCCCAACCGCCGCCCCUCCCCGCCCGAUUCCGGGGCUUCGCCCCAGACCCCCGGCGGCUCGCUCCGCCCCGCCGCGCCUCACAACAUCUCCCGCUGCAAAUGGCCCAAUCGGAAGACGCGACGAGAAUUCCAGCCAAUCAGAGGCAGCUGACUCAGGCGUCCCUCCACCCUUUGCCCGCCCCCAGUAGGAAAGCCACCGCCCCUCAGGCUCCCCUUCCCACCCCGCUCCCCUCCGGGGAGGUGUCUCACAGCUCCUGUCCUCGCCGGGCUGGAGUGGAGGACCCCGCCGCGGUGGCGGGGUUUGUCACCUAGUCACCCUCAUCCUCGCCUCCUCCCAGACACACCCCUCCUCCCUUUCCCAGUCCUCCUGCUGGUGCUGUUGAGGGUCAUUUUUAUCUUCGUGCCGGCGGGGGACUGCCCGCUAUUGUGUCUGAUCAGCUGCCACCGCCCUCCUAAGGGGAAAAAUAAAAGAACAAACCCGAGAAGCUUU